CCUACGGGGGGCAGCAGUGGGGAAUAUUGGACAAUGGGGGCAACCCUGAUCCAGCCAUGCCGCGUGUGUGAAGAAGGCCCUCGGGUUGUAAAGCACUUUCAGUGAGGAAGAACGCCUGGUGGUUAAUACCCAUCAGGAAAGACAUCACUCACAGAAGAAGCACCGGCUAACUCCGUGCCAGCAGCCGCGGUAAUACGGAGGGUGCGAGCGUUAAUCGGAAUUACUGGGCGUAAAGCGCGCGUAGGUGGCUUGAUAAGCCGGUUGUGAAAGCCCCGGGCUCAACCUGGGAACGGCAUCCGGAACUGUCAAGCUAGAGUGCAGGAGAGGAAGGUGGAAUUCCCGGUGUAGCGGUGAAAUGCGUAGAGAUCGGGAGGAAUACCAGUGGCGAAGGCGGCCUACUGGACUGACACUGACGCUGAGGUGCGAAAGCGUGGGUAGCAAACAGGAUUAGAUACCCUAGUAGUC
rnacentral:rRNA from 1 species